CCUACGGGGGGCUGCAGUGGGGAAUAUUGGACAAUGGGCGAAAGCCUGAUCCAGCCAUGCCGCGUGUGUGAAGAAGGCCUUCGGGUUGUAAAGCACUUUCAGUGGGGAAGAAAGCCUUGGGGCUAAUACCCUCGAGGAAGGACAUCACCCACAGAAGAAGCACCGGCUAACUCCGUGCCAGCAGCCGCGGUAAUACGGAGGGUGCGAGCGUUAAUCGGAAUUACUGGGCGUAAAGCGCGCGUAGGCGGUCUGAUAAGCCGGUUGUGAAAGCCCCGGGCUCAACCUGGGAACGGCAUCCGGAACUGUCAGGCUAGAGUGCAGGAGAGGAAGGUAGAAUUCCCGGUGUAGCGGUGAAAUGCGUAGAGACCGGGAGGAAUACCAGUGGCGAAGGCGGCCUUCUGGACUGACACUGACGCUGAGGUGCGAAAGCGUGGGUAGCAAACAGGAUUAGAUACCCCAGUAGUC
rnacentral:rRNA from 1 species